AAUAACAGGUCUGUGAUGCCC
rnacentral:ncRNA from 3 species